rnacentral:rRNA from 1 species
GGACGAACGCUGGCGGCGUGCCUAAUACAUGCAAGUUGAGCGCUGAAGGUUGGUACUUGUACCAACUGGAUGAGCAGCGAACGGGUGAGUAACGCGUGGGGAAUCUGCCUUUGAGCGGGGGACAACAUUUGGAAACGAAUGCUAAUACCGCAUAAAAACUUUAAACACAAGUUUUAAGUUUGAAAGAUGCAGUUGCAUCACUCAAAGAUGAUCCCGCGUUGUAUUAGCUAGUUGGUGAGGUAAAGGCUCACCAAGGCGAUGAUACAUAGCCGACCUGAGAGGGUGAUCGGCCACAUUGGGACUGAGACACGGCCCAAACUCCUACGGGAGGCAGCAGUAGGGAAUCUUCGGCAAUGGACGAAAGUCUGACCGAGCAACGCCGCGUGAGUGAAGAAGGUUUUCGGAUCGUAAAACUCUGUUGGUAGAGAAGAACGUUGGUGAGAGUGGAAAGCUCAUCAAGUGACGGUAACUACCCAGAAAGGGACGGCUAACUACGUG